rnacentral:rRNA from 1 species
CCCUUAGAUGUCCUGGGCCGCACGCGCGCUACACUGAUGCAUUCAACGAGUUUUACCUUGGCCGAGAGGCCUGGGCAAUCUUUUAAACCUGCAUCGUGAUAGGGAUAGAUUAUUGCAAUUAUUAAUCUUGAACGAGGAAUUCCUAGUAAACGCAAAUCAUCAAUUUGCAUUGAUUACGUCCCUGCCCUUUGUACACACCGCCCGCCGCACCUACCGAUUGAAUGGUCCGGUGAAGCCUCGGGAUUGUGGCCAGUUCACUUUAUUGGGAGUUGGCUGUGAGAACUUGUCUAAACCUUAUCAUUUAGAGGAAGGUGAAGUCGUAACA